UGGAAUUCGCAGUGUCUUGACAAUUUUC
rnacentral:piRNA from 1 species